CCUACGGGUGACAGCAGUGAGGAAUAUUGGUCAAUGGCCGGAAGCCUGAACCAGCCAAGCCGCGUGAAGGACGAAGGUGCCAAGCAUUGUAAACUUCUUUUGUCAGGGGACAAAAUCAGGCUCGAGAGCCUGACCGAGGGUACUUGAAGAAAAAGCAUCGGCUAACUCCGUGCCAGCAGCCGCGGUAAUACGGAGGAUGCGAGCGUUAUCCGGAUUUAUUGGGUUUAAAGGGUGCGUAGGCGGGCUGUUAAGUCAGCGGUAAAAGCCCGGGGCUCAACCCCGGCGAGCCGUUGAAACUGGCUGUCUUGAGAUGUCGAGAGGUAUGCGGAAUGCGCAGUGUAGCGGUGAAAUGCUUAGAUAUUGCGCAGAACUCCGAUUGCGAAGGCAGCAUACCGGCGGCGAUCUGACGCUGAGGCACGAAAGCGUGGGUAUCGAACAGGAUUAGAUACCCCGGUAGUC
rnacentral:rRNA from 1 species